UUGAAAUUCACAUUGUUAAAAAAGGUUAUUACUAGUGCAAAGAGUUUUUACUAGUGUAAAAUAUUCGAAAAUCGUAAGUAUUAUAAUUUUGAACGUUGUACAUAAUAACGAAACUUAGGUAAGUACCACUUUUGGGUAUUUAUUUAAUAAAUUUAAUAUAAGAUGGCUGCUCUUCUUUCUUUUCCAGGGAUGCUGAACAGAGGUCCUAUUAUGGCGGUGAUUGCUGGCAAUGGAGCUUAUUAUCCGUCAGUUAAUCUCUGGAGUAAAAGCAAAGGGACAACAUUAAGCUUUUGUGUAUGGGAGCAACUAACUCCUGGUGGUUAAUAACCUGUCCUACCUGCCUAGAGAGAGCUCUAUCUAUUCGGAGAGGAUAUGAGAAUAAAAAUUCGAAUAAUAAAGAAAACAAAAGGAAAUGUCUACCCUUAAGGCUACGUAUUUUCUAUACCCUUUUAUUCUAGGUUUAUGGGCAGUCCGUCCGUCGCAAGUAAUUAUCAAUAAGUUUGGAGGUACCUCAGCACCGCGGAAUGCCUGGUGCUCAACAGCGUAUCCAACGAUGGGCAGAGGAGUCGGGAUCGGUGGUCCAAAUAUCGUUAUCGAUGCUGGCAAAGGUGUUUGGUGCUGGAUUACUUCCUUUUGUUCAAAAG